GCUACAAGAGAAUGCUCCCCCCUGUUUUUUUUUUAAAUUUUAUCUGUGAAAAGUGUGCAAAGAAUAUAUGCAAUACGAAUCUUUUGUACGCCUCCGCCACAAAUACGGUGUUUUGAAUUUACGAAGGAAAAAGAUCUUUUUGAAUCUGUCUGAUAUUUACACUUCUACAAGCCCGAGGAAAGCGAGAAGGAAAGUCAGAAGCCUUGAAGUGAAACAGGCAAAAAAGCCCUGAAAACCAGAUGACUAAUUUGAAUCCUUAGCUAACUGGUAUUAACAGCUAUAACAGGCCUAUCAUUUCGAAGCCAAUAAACCAAUGCAUCAUCGACUCUGUUGGCCUUAUACAGGACUGUGACAAACUAAUGAGGUGCAUUUAAUUUCAUAAAAUCAAAUUGACUAAAAUGAUCAAAAUUUUCAAUCAAUUUAACGUUUAAGAUUCUGAAAGUUUUAAUAUUCCUCUGAUAACUCAUACACAUGUCAAAGUUUAGUUAUCCUUUCUCACAAUGAUGAAUAUGCUUUUUAUUCUUCAAAUGGUGUGUUGAUGCUUUUCAUGUGGUUAUAAUUUAUUAAACCUAUUUGAGAAAAUUGAAAGUACCCCAAAAAUGUCAUUGUGAGAAAGGCUAAUAUAGAGAUUUCAUAGAAUAUAUAUUCAUGAUUUAUUCAAGUUUCUAGUAUAAGGUGGUUGGUUAUUUAAAAUAGUAUUAAUACAAUUGUCAAUAAUUGAUAAAGUCUCUGCUAUAAGUAAACACAAAAGUUAUAGUUGAUUAAUAACUAAUUGGUAACAUCAUCAUCAUCAUUGUCGUUGGACUUGGUAAUUUCGGGUCUUUACACUGCAAAACAAUGUUAAAUAAACCAUUCAAAUAUGUGCAGUACUGCCAACUGGUACUCUGUUCUGCUUAUUUGUAUUAAUUAAACAAAAAUGUCCAUUAAAGGGAUUUUUGCAAGUUUGUCAAAUAUUAUAAUUUUAUCCUGCUAGUAUUUUUUACCUUGUGUUAAUAGUAUACCUUGAAAGUAAUAAAGAGGAAUAUAAUUAUAUGCUUUAAUUAACA